ensembl:lncRNA
CAUGGCGUCUCCAUUCAAGAUCCCGAAGAAGAAACAGCCUGCGGGUUCGGACUCCGCCCGCCUGCACCUGCAGUCCCCACUGUCCCGCCUCCAGAGCUCCGCCCCUCAAUAUAAGAGUAAUGUGGACCAGUACAGCAGAGCUGCAGCUGACAGGAUGCAUGCUGGGAAUACGCUCAGCUCCUCAACAAACAGACAGAGCACGCCGUGUAAGCCUUUCUUCAGAGACGUCGUCAAAACGCUGCUGGAACUCAACAGCCCAAAUGGAGGAGCGUCAGCAGCCAAUCACAGAACAGCCGGACGCUUGAGCAGCCAGUCACAGCCAGGACAGAGAGCUGAGUCGUCCUCGGCCUGUUUCUCCAACAGAUGGCGCCCAAAGAGAGCGUCAGACCGACUGCUGAAGCCCGACGUGUCCUCCGAGCCUCCGUCUCCACCACAGAAGAAGAAAAGUGAACUGAGUGGCUCGUCCGGGUCAAACAGAAGAAUCUCUGUGGACUCUCUGGACUCUCUGGCGGAGCUGCGAGCAGAAGAGCACGCUGGGAGUUUGAGUUCCUUGACGGCGGGACGACAAACGUGGAGGAGAGGGGAGUCCGGCGGAGACGCUGCUGAGAGGAAGAAGAAGAACUCGUCUUCAGAGGACGACUUUGUGUCUCCGCCCAGAACCAGAAACAAACUGUCGGAUCAUAAACCUGAACCCAAAGAACCCCGCAGACCCUCCGUGACUCCCGGUGGGAGGCAGAGCCUCGAUAGGACGGCGUGGCUCGCCGCCGGCAGAAACCCGAGGGGCGACCCGAGGGAGGAGGAGAGGCAGAGGUGGAGGGAGUUCAGGGAGAAGAAGACGCCCAACAGAUCGGCCGUCCUGCGGCUCCGACUGAAGAAACCCAAACAAACACCGACAGAAACUGAACCGAUCGUGCUGUCGAGUGAAGAAGAGGAGGAGGAGGAGGAGGAGGAGGAGGAGGAGAGUGAUGGAGAGGGAGGAAGCAGCAGCCGGGUGGAGGGAGCCCGUCCAGGAAGCUCCGGGCAGAUACAGGCUCAACAGGCUCGUUCUUCCAAAGGUGAAGCAGGCGGAUGUGAGCUGCCGCCUCCUUCCUACAUGGAGCUGGAGUUUGUCUCGUUUCACGCCGGCCUGACGCAGGCUGAUGCCAACGGGAAGAUGUUGAUCACUGAGAACGGCAUCACAAUUCCUCUGAAAGGAGCUGAGGAGGAGGAGGUCACCGUGGUGGCGUCUCAGGUCCGGGGUUACGGUGUUUGGGAUGGGGGCGUGGCUCAGGGCGGGGCUCUGUUGGGUAGUUGGGAAGGCCCCGCCCCCUCGCUGCUCUUCCUGUGGGUGACCGAUGCUCAGGCCAACCUGCUGCAGAUGGAGCUGUCCGCCAUCCAGACCUCCAACUCUGCCUCAGGGCCUUCGUGCUCCUUCCUCCUGCUGGUGCUGACGGAGCAGCUGCAGGAGCUGCAGACCGCCCUGCUGGCCUCCAUCCUGGACAUGGAGGAGUACAGGAAGGGCUCCUCCUCCUCCAGCGGGCCCACCUCCCCUCUGGACUGGACUGACGGGCUGCUGCUCCUUCACAGCUGUCCUCCUCCUCUGGACCAGCACCUCCUCAGACUGCUGGGAUGCUCCAAGGUGAGACUCCUCUUCCCCUUUUACUUCCUUGUUUUGCUUCUAUCUUUCUUUCUCUCCUUUUCAUCCUUCCCUUGUUCCCUCAUUCCCUUGUCUGGCUCCUUCCCUCACUUCUUCCUCCUGGUUUCCCCUGCCUCGCUUCCUUCAUUGAUCUCCUUCUCUCCUCACCUCUUUGGUUGCCUUUC